CCAAAGAAGAAAAGUGUAUCGAAGUAGCUGGUUAUAAGGUGUAGAUGAAAAAAAAAAUGAAAAUCAUUAUUGGUUGAGCAGAACUUUGAAGUUUGAAUCUGUGUCGUGUGGCUUUUCUGAGAAUUAAUCAAGAACCUUCAACCCAUAUUCUCAUCCUCUUUCACUUUUCAAUUUCAAUUUGGUUCAUCAAUCAAUCAAUUCCCAUCCUCAUGUCCGACGGUUAUUGGAGAUACGCCGCCGAAUCGCGGCAUGCCCCUUCCUCUAUCGCCGGCAAGCGUUCCCGUUCCGACUAUGAUGUCUCUGGCGUUCAUGACUUGCCCAAUUACUUUCCCCAUGAUGAUGAUAGAGGAGGGCUACGAGUAAUUAGAGAUGCUGAGUCCCUUGAUGCAUCUUAUGAGAAUUACCUCCGUAGUGCGAUUUCAUCAUAUGGUUCGGGACAGUCCACUAGAACCGUUGGAGAGCGAGUUCCCAAUCGUACUAUUGACGAUUCACAUGUUGCAAAUAUUGGGGGAGUAGACAGGGGAACAAAUGUAAAAGACAAAAUCCUGGGAUUUAGUAGUGGAAGGGUUGACCAUUCUCUUCCACCUGAUGCUACCAGUACACUGUUUGUUGAGGGUUUGCCUUCUAACUGCACAAGGCGGGAAGUAGCUCGUACAGAUAUUUUUCGUCCUUUUGUUGGCUACAAAGAAGUUAGGCUUGUUAGCAAGGAGUCAAGACAACCAAGGGGUGAUCCAAUGGUACUUUGUUUUAUCGAUUUUUUGAGUCCGGGUCAUGCAGCAACUGCCAUGGAAGCAUUGCAGGGCCGUGGGCUGCUCUGCAUAAUACAGGCUGGGUUUUGGGUAAAAUAUAAAUCAAGUAAUCUGAUUAGGUAGUGAUGGAUUUAGAAUGUGAGUGCUGCCUGAAACAUACUCAGUGGUAUUGGAUUAAAGGAUCUUAUUGUAAGGAAGGACAUUAAUAAACACUGGAUGUGAGUGUGGAAUCCUAGAGCACUACUCGAUGGUCUUUCGACGUCACUAAAAAGCAGCAUCGUAUUUAACCCUAUGCAAUGCAUUUCUCAUCUACCACACUUUUAUGCGGGGAUGGAGAUGGUUUGGCUCAGAUGAAAGCUUUACUCAAGCUUGGAAAGGCAUGCCUCCUGCUUUUUAGGAACUCAUGUGGGUUGGGUGGACUGCUUAAAAGAACAUUGGUUGCAUGGAAUAUCGAUAGCUAAGGGCCUUGUUUGACAAAAUACGCUCUCUUGGUGUAGUAGACUUCCACAUUCAUUUGCUCUUCCAUCUACCAGCACCGUUACAAAUUUGACGAGCUUGACCGCAACUCGGUCAAUUUAAGGUUUGAAUUUGCUCGCCGCUAUCCUGGUGCGAGGUCAGGUGGCGUACAUCGUGGCAAACGUUGAAUUAUGCAAUUACAGGAUUCACUCACGAUGGGGAGGUUAUGAUUAUGAUUUUGAGAGGCAAAUGGGCAACAUUGCAGUCGAGAUUUACAGUUGCUUUCAUUAGCAACAAGUCGAUCAUUGUCGUAUUCGUGUGGGGAGUGCUCGCUAGAGAUUCAGAUUGUGCGUGUUUGAGAAAAAUUGUUUAAUUUAUUUACGAUAAAUUGCUUCAAAUUGUCUUAUGCGAAAUAACUUAUGACUUGGAUGGCUUUUCAUUGCUCUUUCGAAUAUAUUUAUCUACUAAUAAGAAGGAUGUUUCCAUGCA